rnacentral:rRNA from 1 species
UGAGGAAUAUUGCGCAAUGGGCGCAAGCCUGAUGCAGCGACGCCGCGUGUGGGAUGAAGGGGCUACGCCUCGUAAACCACUGUAGCCUGGGACGAAAAACGCCUUAGAGGCGUUAGACGGUACCGGGAAAGUAAGGGUCGGCUAACUACGUGCCAGCAGCCGCGGUAAUACGUAGGACCCAAGCGUUGUCCGGAUUUACUGGGUGUAAAGGGUGCGCAGGCGGAUGGGUAAGUCAGGGGUGAAAGUCUGCAGCUUAGCUGUAGAAUUGCCUGUGAUACUGCUCAUCUUGAGUGUGGGAGAGGUUAAUCGAAUUCCAGGUGUAGCAGUGAAAUGCGUAGAUAUCUGGAAGAACACCAGUGGCGAAGGCGGUCAACUGGCCCAUAACUGACGCUCAUGCACGAAAGCGUGGGGAGCAAACA